UGGGGGAUAUUGCACAAUGGGCGAAAGCCUGAUGCAGCGACGCCGCGUGGGGGAUGAAGGCCUUCGGGUUGUAAACUUCUUUUGCUCUGAACAAGGCAUGCUAAUGGGUGUGUUGAGUGUAGGGGUUGAUUAGCGCCGGCUAACUACGUGCCAGCAGCCGCGGUAAUACGUAGGGCGCGAGCGUUGUCCGGAAUUAUUGGGCGUAAAGGGCUUGUAGGUGGCUGGUUGCGUCUGUCGUGAAAGCUCAUGGCUUAACUGUGGGUUUGCGGUGGGUACUGGCUGGCUUGAGUGCAGUAGGGGAGUCUGGAAUUCCUGGUGUAGCGGUGGAAUGCGCAGAUAUCAGGAGGAAUACCGGUGGCGAAGGCGGGUCUCUGGGCUGUUACUGACACUGAGGAGCGAAAGCAUGGGGAGCGAACAGG
rnacentral:rRNA from 1 species